rnacentral:rRNA from 1 species
CAGUCGCCACGGUAAUACGGAGGGUGCAAGCGUUAUCCGGAUUUAUUGGGUUUAAAGGGUCCGUAGGCGGACUUAUAAGUCAGUGGUGAAAGCCUGUCGCUUAACGAUAGAACUGCCAUUGAUACUGUAAGUCUUGAGUAUAUUUGAGGUAGCUGGAAUAAGUAGUGUAGCGGUGAAAUGCAUAGAUAUUACUUAGAACACCAAUUGCGAAGGCAGGUUACCAAGGUAUAACUGACGCUGAGGGACGAAAGCGUGGGUAGCGAACAGGAUUAGAUACCCGAGUAGUCCCUGUCUCUUAUAA